rnacentral:lncRNA from 1 species
UGUAUUUCUUGUAAAUUUUGGAGAAAAAAGGUCUAUAUUGUUGAACAUAGCAAUUAGAUGGGAGUAUGCAGUAAGAUUAAUGGAUUAAAACAGGUCUAGGUUACAUGGUCAUUUUUAGUACAGGCUAGAAUGAACUGUGUUAACCCACAGUUACAUUUUGUUGAUUUUUUUUUUCAUAGUGAUAAUAGCAUAUUAUGAUUAAAAAUCAAAAUUACAUUGUUAUGAAAUAGGCAAAGAAUCUUUUAAAAGAAGAAUUCAUUCAUAAUUUCAUAUAUUGCGUAGGAAGGGCACCGGAUUCUUUAGAGGAAGCUCGAAAUAUUAAAGAGUGACUCUUCAUAAAUUGGCAGAUGGGUGACAUAACUUUUGCUUAUGUUCGAGUUGAUUGUGAUUAUCGUCGUUAAUAUAGGGAGACUUCCCUCACUGGGUUGAUUGUUUAACCACUUUUAUGUCUUUUUUAACAAAUACAUUAAACCAAGGAAAGAUUUGCAACUUCAUAUCUUGCAAAGUGGAGUGUUUGGGUUGGGUGUCUAAUAGUGUGUUUAUGGUAGAUUUUGUUUUCUUUUGUAUAAUUAAUGAACGAACUGAUGAGUUUGGCCUUCUAAUUAUCAAGAAAUGGUCAUGCUUGGAGGAUUCUACAUGGGAAUAAUAUAUUUUCAGGUAUGCUUUACUUGGAGCUGCCUCAUUCUUUGGAGGUUUAAUGCGAAUGGCAGUUACCCUAUGUGCUAUUAUCGUUGUAAUUUAUUAAUAGUUUUAAACUUUUACCUCUUAUCAUGCUUGUUUGAUUUGCCGGUACAGAACAAGUUGGACCCACAUCUGAAAAAAAAAAUGAAUACAUUAGUGAAACAAGCAACACUGAGGAUUUUGAAUUGGAUUAUUUGCUUGUUGAACCAUUUUUGGUGCUUCUACCAGUGACUUCAAAUUUGAUGGAAAUACAUUCCUUAAAGAAGAUGACCUUUUGAUGUUCAGCCAGAACCCAGCUUUGACAAUUUCCUAAGUAUUCAUUGUUUCUUAUGCCACCAAUCCAAUAGCUUGGAAUACAAUUCUUGAUUCAUUCGAUAACGAAUAUAUUUUCGAGUAUUCAGAAUUCAAAAAAUGAAACUCAUAAAGUGAGUGAACUGAAAAACAAUGAUGUUGCUUCCACUUCAAACCAAGAGCAUCCAGAUUCAGCAAUGGGUAACAUGGAAGGAACCCAUGUCAUUAUUUUUGGCUACGAUCAAAAUGGAAAAAAAAAGAAUGUCAUGGGAUUGACCCGACAAGUGUGGGCCCCACUAAGGGUAUCAUCAGCUCCUCAUUUAGUCCAAUUAGGCGUCAGUUUAAAAUGGUGAUUGGGUCGACCUUUUGACAUCACACGGGCCAAAGGUCUACCAAGUUUACAUAGUCACCUGUGUUUCUGAUUUUUGGCUACGAUCGAUCAUUCGUGUUUCUUUUUUUUUCUGUGUAAAGCAUCGACCAGGUGUUGAUCACCAACACCAACAUCAUUUACAUUUUAGUUCACCUACUCGAUCAUAAAAAUGGAAACAAAAAAAGAUGUGUCAUAGGACUGACCCGACAAGUGUGGGCCCUACUAAGGGUAACGGAGUAGGCGAAGUGAAGCAAGCAACAUGGGUAAAUUUGGAAAAACAACCUGCUGAUGAUGGUAACCUGUGUUAUGCCAUUCCAGAGGAUGCUGACUGAGGAUGAUAAUUGGACUGACCAGUGCAUUGACUUUGCAGUCAAAACAUUUGCAAAUGAAAUUUUGUUUAAUGGUCAGCCAAGUGGAGACUACAGGUGAAAUUUUGAUAAACUAACGUAAAUUAUCGACUCCGCUGCAACGCGCGUAAGCUUUAGAGGCAAAAGGGUGCUUAAGGUAUAUUAUGUUUUUUUGGUAACCCAUAACAUGUUCGCUUCGUUUGCAGCUCUAUGUACAUGUAAAUAAGUUUGAUUUUUCCAAGCAAUUUAACUUUUUAAACUAUUAUGGCAACAAGAAGUAUGCAUACCCGAGACCAGUGGCAGUGGCUGCGGCUCAAGUAGUGAUGUCGUGUUCACUUCUCUACUAUGUCGUUAGUGCACCAGGGGCGAUAUACAUUGUCUCAGUUGUGAUGGGAUCGUGUUACGGGGCCCAUUGGGCCAUUGUGCCAUCUGCUGUGUCAGAACUAUUCGGGCUAAAGAGUUUUGGUGCAUUGUAUAACUUUCUUACACUUGCUACCCCAGCCGGUUCACUAAUUUUCUCCGGCGUCAUUGCUAGCGGCAUUUAUGACUAUGAAACCAAGAUUCAAAGUGCUACAAACCUUAACACGCUCACAGAUGGCGAAGCACUGACGUGCUAUGGAACCAUAUGCUACUCCAUCACUUGCGG